GGUCGAUGCACUGUGCAGAGUGGCUAGGCAUAGAAGAGGGGGAAAACGGGCAACCCGGUGACAGAGUUUGAANNNNNNNNNNGGGUUAGGCAUAGAAGAGGGGGGAAACGGGCAACCCGGUGACAGAGUUUGAAAUACCGAAACGUCCGACUAUUGACCGGCUAUAGUGCCGCUAUAUAAUAAACGGCACGGGUAACAAACGAGCUCCGAUCGCAAUGAAAUUUGAUAGACGGCCUACCUACACUAAAUCAAGACCGCACGCCAAGUUACAGCCCAAUCGGAGAAAGUUUUAUACACGUUAUAAAAACAAGGUCUUGACGAUGC
rnacentral:lncRNA from 1 species